AUGACAGAUAGAGAGUGAGCACAGAUAGCUUCAAGCAUGGAGUUCAUGCAAGAAAACACCAUGUGUGCUCACUCUCUUCUGUCAC
rnacentral:pre_miRNA from 1 species